CUAGCCAGCUCCAUACAAUAUGCUAAGCCCCGCCUCCUGAGGCACCUAAGGACAUCCAAGUCACUGCAUUUACAUAUAGAUUUCCUCAUUUUCUUCAAUCUAUCAUUAUUAUAAUCACUUAGUUAGCAAGAAAAUGAAUGAUUUCGAGAUAUGUGUGCAGCUGUAUUAUUAUCAGUUAAAUCUGCUACCUGUAUCUGAGUUGAUGUUUCACCAGUUUGGGCUAUGGGACGUUUUCCAAUGACAGCUUCUAAAACUGUUGAAUACUGGAUGGAGAGAUUAUUACGAGACCCUGUUUGACAAGAUAUAAUCUGAAAAUAGUUUGGGGACCUGGUGCUCGGAAAUUUGGCAGUGAGAACAGAAGACCAGAGGACCUACUUGACAAGUCAGGCCAACUUGAUAGCCUAUGGUCACUACCCCAAGGUCAAAUCAAGGUCAACGUAAAGGACACAUACUGGUCAAGAGUACAGGCCCCAGGUCAAGGGAUCAUACUUAUUGGACACUAACAUUGUAAUACAGCCUGGUGACCUGUCAUGACCCUGGUUCACACCUGAUGACCUGCUGAUCCAUGACCUACUGAACUUUGAACUCAUUUUUGCAGAUGGAACAAGAUGGAGUCAAGCAUAAUCAAAGACAGCAAUCAGAAAGACUGGCUGUAUUCUUUGCACCAUGGGAGCUAUUUGUCCAAUCAUAGAAAGACAAAAAAGACACAAAAUCUAUAGAUUGUUCGUUCAGCUUGUGAAAAUGUUCGAAAUAAAGACAAAUCUGAAAUAGAAGAAC